rnacentral:SRP_RNA from 1 species
GCCGAGCUCACUAGCGAGAGCUUGUCACCCGAGCGGGGGCUUUGAGAUGGUGUUGUGGACGCUGUUGUGUAGCGGUGGGCCUGGUCUGUAGUGUGCUACACUGCUGGCCUGCCCGUUCCAAGUUGAGUAGUGGACCGGCGGGGCCUGUGCGAAAGCUGGGCUUACUGCGUAAGGCUGGCCUCACAGAGCCAGCGACAACUGCCCGCUUCCAACGGUGGAAGGACAAUGGGCCGCUGCACCCUUCGGCCGCUUGGGCCUCGCAGCCCACUCCAGCGAACCAUCAUUUUU